rnacentral:rRNA from 1 species
UACAGAGGGGGCGAGCGUUGUUCGGAAUUACUGGGCGUAAAGGGCUCGUAGGUGGCCAACUAAGUCAGACGUGAAAUCCCCAGGCUCAACUUGGGAACUGCGUCUGAUACUGGAUGGCUUGAAUUCGGGAGAGGGAUGCAGAAUUCCAGGUGUAGCGGUGAAAUGCGUAGAUAUCUGGAGGAAUACCGGUGGCGAAGGCGGCAUCCUGGACCGAUAUUGACACUGAUGAGCGAAAGCUAGGGGAGCAAACGGG